rnacentral:rRNA from 1 species
CAACAGGGAUUGCCUCAGUAACGGCGAGUGAAGCGGCAACAGCUCAAAUUUGAAAUCUGGAGUCUUCGACUUCCGAGUUGUAAUUUGAAGAGGAUGCUUCGGUUGUAGCUUGGGCCUAAGUUCCUUGGAACAGGACGUCGUAGAGGGUGAGAAUCCCGUACACGGCUACCGGCUUACUUCCAUGUGUAGCUCCUUCGAAGAGUCGAGUUGUUUGGGAAUGCAGCUCAAAAUGGGUGGUAAAUUUCAUCUAAAGCUAAAUACUGGCGAGAGACCGAUAGCGCACAAGUAGAGUGAUCGAAAGAUGAAAAGCACUUUGAAAAGAGAGUUAAACAGUACGUGAAAUUGUUGAAAGGGAAGCGUUUGCAAUCAGACUUGCUUUCAGUUGAUCAACGUUCCUUUUGGUUCGUGCACUCUGCUGUCUGCAGGCCAGCAUCAGUUAGGGCGGUGGGAUAAAGGCUCAGGGAAUGUGGCUCUCUUCGGGGAGUGUUAUAGCCCUGUGUGUAAUGCCACCAGUCCUGACUGAGGUCCGCGUUCGCUAGGAUGCUGGCUUAAUGGUUGUAAACGACCCGUCUUGAAACACGGACCAAGGAGUCUAACAUCUAUGCGAGUGUUUGGGUGUCAAACCCAUACGCGAAAUGAAAGUGAACGGAGGUGGGAGUCUUCGGAUGCACCAUCGACCGAUCCUGAUGUCUUCGGAUGGAUUUGAGUAUGAGCAUAGCUGUUGGGACCCGAAAGAUGGUGAACUAUGCCUGAAUAGGGUGAAGCCAGAGGAAACUCUGGUGGAGGCUCGCAGCGGUUCUGACGUGCAAAUCGAUCGUCAAAUUUGGGUAUAGGGGCGAAAGACUAAUCGAACCAUCUA